UUCUAAGAUGGCAGAAUAAUGCACAGGAUUUAAGCUCCUGAUAUGGAGAACUUCUCCUCUUAGAAUC
rnacentral:tRNA from 1 species